rnacentral:rRNA from 1 species
GACGAACGCUGGCGGCGUGCUUAACACAUGCAAGUCGAACGGAAAGGCCCCUUUGGGGGUACUCGAGUGGCGAACGGGUGAGUAACACGUGAGUAACCUGCCCUUGACUUCGGGAUAACUUCAGGAAACUGGGGCUAAUACCGGAUAGGAAUCCUUGCUGCAUGGUGGGGGUUGGAAAGCUUCGGCGGUUUUGGAUGGACUCGCGGCUUAUCAGCUUGUUGGUGGGGUAGUGGCUUACCAAGGCUUUGGCGGGUAGCCGGCCUGAGAGGGCGACCGGCCACAUUGGGACUGGGAUACGGCCCAGACUCCUACGGGGGGCAGCAGUGGGGAAUAUUGCACAAUGGGCGGAAGCCUGAUGCAGCAACGCCGCGGGCGGGAUGACGGCCUUCGGGUUGUAAACCGCUUUCAGCAGGGGCGAAGCUUGUGGUGACGGUACCUGCAGAAGAAGCACCGGCUAACUACGUG